AUGACGUCAAGUCCUCGUGGCCCUUAUGGGUAGGGCUUCACACGUCAUACAAUGGUCGGUACAGAGGGUUGCCAAGCCGCGAGGUGGAGCCAAUCCCUUAAAGCCGAUCGUAGUCCGGAUCGUAGUCUGCAACUCGACUACGUGAAGUCGGAAUCGCUAGUAAUCGCAGAUCAGCAUGCUGCGGUGAAUACGUUCCCGGGUCUU
rnacentral:rRNA from 1 species